CGGGGUGUAGUACAACGGUAGUAUGCAUGCUUUGGGAGCAUGUGACCCGAGUUCGAUUCUCGGCACCCCGACAA
rnacentral:tRNA from 1 species